rnacentral:miRNA from 1 species
GAGAGAGAGAGAGAGAGAGAGAGAGAGGAUAAUAUAUAAAAAUAAAAGGGUUCAACUAGACAAAAGGAAAUUAUAAUUGUAAAUAUAUAUGCACCAAUGGUUGCUUUAUAUAACUGGGUCUCUUAGUGUUUGGUGCAUAUAUAUUUACAAUUAUAAUUUCCUUUUGUCUAGUUGAACCCUUUUAUUUUUACAUAUUAUCCUCUUUCUCUCUCUCUCUCUUUUUUU